CAGGACCAAUAACACCUUUUCUCCUUCCUCCAUCACAACCAUCUCCACCAUCAUUAUCACCAGAUGGCAUCAAUCAAAACCCCAGCUGCUAGAGAAGAAUAGCUAAAGGUAAACCUGCCAUACCUGAAGCCUUAAAGAAGGUUCUAUUUGGAGAACUUUUGAAUCACACCCAUCUCUGAGCAGGAAGAAGCUGCUGUGUACUCCUUGGCCAGGAGCUUUGUUACGAUGACUUGAAGCCCACUGAUAAAACAGCUUUGCCAGUACUCCUAUGGGAGGCUCAUGCUUGGAAGAACAAGGUGGACAUUUACUAGUGCCCUGCCUGUCGCCAUGAGGACAACUGAGACAAUAUCCUUUUAAAAUACCUUUCACAGAGAUUUUGCUGUAUUUUCCUUUGAAGGCAUAACAAAUAUCUAAGAACCUUGCCCACAUUAAAAAAAAAAAAAAAUGGGUCACAUGUUUUUGCUAAAAAAAAAAAGCAGCUAUUUUUAUUUCCUUGUAUCCUUGUAACAUAACAGUUAUAAACAGCUGAACUAAAUUUUUAAUUAUCCUUUUUAAAAGAUUUUUUUAAAAAGUAAAGGUUAUUCCUAGGCUGACACUGAAUAUGCCAGGUCUGUAGCUAGAAGCAAAUUUUUAUAGCUGGUUAUAAACCCCUGAAAUAUGAGUUUAUACUGGAAAAGCUGAAGCAAUCUUAACUCUAAGUAUGCCGAUGGGCGCCACUUUAAUUACAGUCCCAGAAUCAAAUAAAACAGUCUCUCUUCUACAGUAGCAUCACAAAGAACCCCAUUAACUCUGCAAUUACUAAAUGAGGAAACAACAUUCUCUAGAGCCCAAGCCAAGGAAAAAAGAACAGUGCAUGUUCCAACAUAAAGCCUUAAAGCCAGCUUCAAAGUUACAGUCAGCAUAAGGAGGCGCUCCCCUGCACCGGUAAUGUUUACUUCGCUCAUUUAAAAUAAGUGAGAGUCUUUGCCAAGGCUCACAUAAGACUAUUUGUUUAACAAAUAAAAAUGUGUGUUUCCUGGAGUGUUUCUAAUUGGGGUUUGAGAUCCCACCUCCUAAGAAAUUCUGGGCUUGGAUACCUCCCGCAGGCACAAUGCCUCUGACGGUGUGGGUAUCCCCUAUUGAGAGGAGUAGAGGGUCUGGUGCUCAUAAGGGAGCAUGCACAUGGCAAAAUACACAGAACAAAUGGUUUGUGUCCCACCAACGCAUCCAUCACCCUUUCAACAGGAAAGAAAGCUGGGGAAGGUCAAAACGAUAUCCAGUAGGAUUUGUAAAUCGAGCUAUUCAGUAGGCAAGCAGACUUUAAAAAUAGCAACUUGGGGGAGGAGAAGUUCCCCUCAUCUCCUCCCUUCACUCCCUUACUCCAGCCUCCCCACUCUGCCCUGCUGCCCCCGCUGUCUCUGCAACAGCGGUAAAGCAGCCCUGUUUUCAAAACCAUGCGAACAUCUUGGGAAAUGCCAGGGCAAAAUCAAAGAUUCUUUGGCUGGGUGUGUAAUAUAAAACUUGAAGUUGUUCCUGUUAAAUAAAAACAGCCAUGUUAAUUUUGGUGCCAUUGAAAACACAGGAAAAUGCUGUUGCCAAAUGGAAAGGGAGGAAAAAAAAAGCUUACCAAAUGGGAAGCAGUUGUAUUUUCAAGACUCAAGAAGGGUACAUUACAAAAACUAGAGAGCAAAAUCAAAAGAGGAAAAAGAUGUAAAAGAAUGGUUGUUUUCUCUAUUUAAUUCUUCUCCCCCCAUCAAGGUAAAGGAACGUAUCCCCAACUCCCUAGAGGAGAGAGGAAACUCAAGUCUCUGGGGUUCGCUGCCUUGGUCUAUAAAUAUGGAAACAUUUUCUCGCUGGGGCCCUGGUCCCACCCUUCUGGAAAUGCUCUCAAUAACACUCCCGUGGUUUACAGAUUUGGUGAGCUACUCGGCAACCAGACAAAAUAUUCUGUACUCAAGAUCCUGUUUUGAGCUGAGUUUGACAAAUGGUUGAAGGAGCAUAAUCAUAGAAGCAGAAAUUGUUUAUUUUCUGGUUCCACCUGAAAGUUAGCGACUACUCCCUGCAGUGUUCCAAGUAUUUCUGAGUUUUUAAACGCAGUAGAUGCCAAACUCUACUUGUAAUGAUUGGUAUAAUUGCAAGUGAUUCGCAGGAGACCAUCCUUGGCUGGUUUUAACAUCUUUGAACAAGAAACCGGAAAAGGAAAGAAGGAAAAGAAAGCUAAGACCAAAGACUCUUGAAAUCCUCUUUUAGGGGUGAGAUUCUGGAACAUUGAUUUGCUGGGCUUUUGGGUUUUUUUUAGAUUUAGACAAGGAGAGCAGGAGCUCGACUCCCAAUGAGCUAAAGCCCCACCCCAGGCUUGAUCUCAGGAUCCUGAGAUCAUGACCUGAGCGGAAACCAAGAGGUAGAUGCUCAACAGACUGAGCCAUCCAGGCGCCCCUGCUUUGUUGUUGCUGUUACUACUAAAAAAUGUGUUAUGAGAGAACUUUUUUAUUUUAAUUUGGAGGACAGUUGUAAUGGUGAUUCCUGAGAGGGUAACUCUCUUGCUUAAACUGGUGUCCAGACACUAAGGAAAUCACACUAGCUAUCUUUGCCAAAAUUAAAAUUACCUUCAUCACCAUAGCUAUUCCUAUGUACACUCUUUCCGUCACUUUAUAAAUAAUAAGUAAAUAAGCUGAAUGUCAUCUACAUGCCUGGUACUGUGUAGCAUGCUGGCUAUGGUACAAUUCAACAUCAGGUGAAUAUUUUUCAUAGAUGGUAUUUUUUUUUUUUCAUUCCAAGGGUAUGGCUUCCACAAACUGACAUCUUGGCAGUGCCCCAGAUUCUUGGUAAUGGCCAUGAGUGCAUGAUAACCCUGGCCCUGAAACAAAAUCCAAGUUAGAUUUCUCCAGUUCUGAAGUUAUUGUGCAAUAUAAAACUUGAAGUUGUUCCUGUUAAAAUAAAAACAGCCAUAUUUUCAAAUUCCAAAUUUAAAUAAAUAAUACCUAAAAACUCAAUGCCGCAGGGCAGCCAACAUUGUAGCUCACUCUACCCCUCCUUCCAUUCUUUCCACCAUGGAAACCCAGGGAAGGACCAAGGGGAACAUGGGGGAUGACAUCGGGGCAGGCCGUGACCACUCAAGACUCCCCGAGUGGGGGCUCACCAGGUAAGAAACUUCAUCAGAUCCUCCGGAGAAUUGAGCCAAGAGAGGUUAACAGCUUCUUGGAAGGCUUGAAUUCAAAUUCAAGGAGAAUUAAAGAACUUAGAAAAGUAAUGAAAUAAAAUGAACUUCCAGGAACACAUGCAACCCAGUCUGAAGUGAGGAAUGACUAGCCAUGUGUUAAAAAGCAGUAAAAGGGAGCUGUAAUAGUCCCUAAAUGGAAAGCGAGUCAGCCGCCCAGCACCGUUGUUAAAUAGAAGAUCUUGAAAUUGGUGGAUGAAAUCAUGGCACCAGGGAGACAUGGUUCAGAUCGCAGGCUCUGUGGUCAGAGACCCAGGCUGAGCUUCACCUGUGUCACUUGGGAGACUAAGCAGGACACAACUAUUCUUUUCUGUUUCUUCAUCUACAAAAUGCCAGUAACACUACCGUCCACCCCACAGCGGUUGUCAGGCUUAUGUGGGACAGCCCAUGAAAUGUCUCUACACCAGUAUUGGGUCUAGAAUGAAGUGCUUCAUAAAUGGGUCCUCUGUUCACCAAGGAGAUACACCUUUGCAGCUUCCUGCACCUGGUUUGGACUUCUCAAUUUCUGGACAGUGAAGAGAACUAGAAAGUGAUCCAGAAGAAAGCAAGUGAGAUGAUCAAAGAAAAGGCAAACAGAAACCACAAAAAGGAACUCACAACUGUUGGGAUUAUCUAGCCUAGAAAAGCAAAAGCUGGAAGGUUUAGCAACAAAGCAAAUAAGCAGUAAAGCACCCCAUUGUUCAGCAUGGGGUGACCAGCUCUUCUGCUGCUGGAGUUCGGCCAUGGGAGAAGAAAUAGAGAACAGACUUCUUUCAACAACUCGGGGCCUCAGGCAUGGAUGCCAAGGAAGAAGUAUUCCCAGCACCACCAUGUAUGGCUCAGAAAGCAGAGGGAAGACUCAAAGUUAAAAAAGAUAAAUCUCAAACAGCUGCAACAGAGGACCCUGGACCACGGAGGUAAGGUCAAAAUCAUUCCCAAACGUGUCUUCCCAGACAGCACUGAAGCGGAGGAGGGGCCCCUGCCCCCUACCCUAGGGAAUCUGGUCACCGGACCGGACCAUAAAGAGCCAAGCUGGAGGGUCCUGGAGGCUGGCAAGCUUUCUGGGCCCGAUUUCCUGCAGUGGCCUGGGGCUGGAGCCCCCUACCAGGCAGUGUGCCCCUCUCAGCUCUGGGGGCCUAAUCUCCUGAUUGGUUGCAGCUCUGCAAGAAGGUAUCAAAGCCAGAAAGAAAUGGUUUGAAGCCAAACAGAGGGGUGAGAGAGCAGGGA